rnacentral:lncRNA from 1 species
CGACUAUCUCUCUACAGCUAUUCACGUCUUAUGUUGCUGCAUCCCCUGUGAGUUUUCUGUGUCUUUUCUGUGUUGUUUGUAGCACUCUGGUACAUUUCCUGGCUGCUGCAACUUAAAAUCUUUUCAUGCGGAGGAUUCCCAAUGCCUUCACCUUCAGUGAUUGAACUCUCCACGUAGGGCAGCGCGUCACGCUCCCCAGGCAACAGCAUCCCUGGCCUUUCCUGUGCCCUGGACUCUCAGAUGAGCUACGUAAACACCACAGGAGCACCUCAAAACUGUUUCAGAUCUGCAUCCUUUCUCUGUGGUCACUUAGCUAAGUGCAGAAUUGGAGUAAAAGAAGAUGCUCCAGUGAAAUGUAACUAGACACUCGAGGGAAGGCACUCAGCCUUUCUAGGGUGACUGGAGCAGAUGAAAGCCACCUUGAAGAUUUCACCAUGGUCUUAAGGCUUUAUUGCUGCGAAGAGACACCAUGAC